rnacentral:rRNA from 1 species
UACGAAGGGGGCUAGCGUUGCUCGGAAUCACUGGGCGUAAAGCGCACGUAGGCGGAUCUUUAAGUCAGGGGUGAAAUCCUGGAGCUCAACUCCAGAACUGCCUUUGAUACUGGGGAUCUCGAGUCCGGGAGAGGUGAGUGGAACUCCGAGUGUAGAGGUGAAAUUCGUAGAUAUUCGCAAGAACACCAGUGGCGAAGGCGGCUCACUGGCCCGAUACUGACGCUGAGGCACGAAAGCGUGGGGAGCAAACAGGG